AAAGAGCUCGUAGGCGGUUUGUCGCGUCUGCUGUGAAAAUCCGAGGCUCAACCUCGGACCUGCAGUGGGUACGGGCAAACUAGAGUGCGGUAGGGGAGAUGGGAAUUCCUGGUGUAGCGGUGGAAUGCGCAGAUAUCAGGAGGAACACCGAUGGCGAAGGCACAUCUCUGGGCCGUAACUGACGCUGAGGAGCGAAAGCGUGGGGAGCGAACAGGAUUAGAUACCCGGGU
rnacentral:rRNA from 1 species